rnacentral:rRNA from 1 species
UACGAAGGGGGCUAGCGUUGCUCGGAAUCACUGGGCGUAAAGGGUGCGUAGGCGGGUUUUUAAGUCAGGGGUGAAAUCCUGGAGCUCAACUCCAGAACUGCCUUUGAUACUGAAGAUCUUGAGUCCGGGAGAGGUGAGUGGAACUGCGAGUGUAGAGGUGAAAUUCGUAGAUAUUCGCAAGAACACCAGUGGCGAAGGCGGCUCACUGGCCCGGUACUGACGCUGAGGCACGAAAGCGUGGAGAGCAAACAGG